CUUUUCAGUUGAGUACAUCUUGAACAAGCGACAUGUUGACUCAAGAGCAUAUUGGACAGGAAACAGGGAACUUUCAAUCCUGACUUCAAACGAAACCUAUAAUGAAGUCUGGAUGAUGGUUAACAGACCCUGACACCGCAGGGCCCCAGCUGAGCUGUUCCCUUGGCCCAGCCGCCAGCAAGAAUGGAGAAAUGUCAAUACAUUAAGGGGCUUUGAUUUUGUAGCUGUGUGGGAACUUCCACCAAUAUAGACUGCAAUUCAUCAAUGAGGACAGUUCCAUGCCAAUGGGCUUUGAGAUGCAGAUUAUAUAAAGGAAAAUGGUGUGCUCAGAAUCCUGUUAAUGCCGCACAAAGAAGAACAAAUCUCCCAGAGUCGAAGGCAGGCAGUGCAUAAGCAGAGAGAAGGCA